UCCAUAGCGUAUAUUAAAGUUGUUGCAGUUAAAAAGCUCGUAGUUGGAUUUCUGUUAAUAAUUUAUAUACAAUAUUUGAAUGAUAUUUAUAUAAUAUUAACAUAAUUCAUAUUACUAAAUUUUAAUUUGGUAUAUGAAAUUUUACUUUGAAAAAAUUAGAGUGCUUAAAGCAGGCAUUAGCCUUGAAUACUCCAGCAUGGAAUAAUAUAAAAGAUUUUUAUCUUUUUUAUUGGUUCUAAAAUAAAAAUAAUGAUUAAUAGGGACAGUUGGGGGCUUUUCGUAUUUAA
rnacentral:rRNA from 1 species